AACGAACGCUGGCGGCAUGCCUAACACAUGCAAGUCGAACGAGACCUUCGGGUCUAGUGGCGCACGGGUGCGUAACGCGUGGGAACCUGCCUUUAGGUUCGGAAUAACUCAGAGAAAUUUGAGCUAAUACCGGAUGAUGUCUUCGGACCAAAGAUUUAUCGCCUUUAGAUGGGCCCGCGUUGGAUUAGCUAGUUGGUGGGGUAAAGGCCUACCAAGGCGACGAUCCAUAGCUGGUCUGAGAGGAUGAUCAGCCACACUGGGACUGAGACACGGCCCAGACUCCUACGGGAGGCAGCAGUGGGGAAUAUUGGACAAUGGGCGAAAGCCUGAUCCAGCAAUGCCGCGUGAGUGAUGAAGGCCUUAGGGUUGUAAAGCUCUUUUACCCGAGAUGAUAAUGACAGUAUCGGGAGAAUAAGCUCCGGCUAACUCCGUG
rnacentral:rRNA from 1 species